UACAGAGGGUGCGAGCGUUAAUCGGAAUUACUGGGCGUAAAGCGUGCGUAGACGGUCAAGUAAGUCGGGUGUGAAAGCCCCGGGCUCAACCUGGGAAUUGCAUUCGAGACUGCGUGGCUAGGGUGCGGAAGAGGGAAGCGGAAUUUCCGGUGUAGCGGUGAAAUGCGUAGAUAUCUGGAGGAACACCGGUGGCGAAGGCGGCAUCCUGGACCGGUAUUGACGCUGAGGCGCGAAAGCCAGGGGAGCAAACGGG
rnacentral:rRNA from 1 species